rnacentral:rRNA from 1 species
GAUGAACGCUGGCGGCGUGCCUAAUAUAUGCGAGUCGAGCGAACGGACGAGAAGCUUGCUUCUCUGAUGUUAGCGGCGGACGGGUGAGUAACACGUGGAUAACCUACCCAUAAGACUGGGAUAACUUCGGGAAACCGGGGCUAAUACCGGAUAAUAUUUUGAACCGCAUGGUUCAAAAGUGAAAGACGGUCUUGCUGUCACUUAUGGAUGGAUCCGCGCUGCAUUAGCUAGUUGGUAAGGUAACGGCUUACCAAGGCAACGAUGCAUAGCCGACCUGAGAGGGUGAUCGGCCACACUGGAACUGAGACACGGUCCAGACUCCUACGGGAGGCAGCAGUAGGGAAUCUUCCGCAAUGGGCGAAAGCCUGACGGAGCAACGCCGCGUGAGUGAUGAAGGUCUUCGGAUCGUAAAACUCUGUUAUUAGGGAAGAACAUAUGUGUAAGUAACUGUGCACAUCUUGACGGUACCUAAUCAGAAAGCCACGGCUAACUACGUGCCAGCAGCCGCGGUAAUACGUAGGUGGCAAGCGUUAUCCGGAAUUAUUGGGCGUAAAGCGCGCGUAGGCGGUUUUUUAAGUCUGAUGUGAAAGCCCACGGCUCAACCGUGGAGGGUCAUUGGAAACUGGAAAACUUGAGUGCAGAAGAGGAAAGUGGAAUUCCAUGUGUAGCGGUGAAAUGCGCAGAGAUAUGGAGGAACACCAGUGGCGAAGGCGACUUUCUGGUCUGUAACUGACGCUGAUGUGCGAAAGCGUGGGGAUCAAACAGGAUUAGAUACCCUGGUAGUCCACGCCGUAAACGAUGAGUGCUAAGUGUUAGGGGGUUUCCGCCCCUUAGUGCUGCAGCUAACGCAUUAAGCACUCCGCCUGGGGAGUACGACCGCAAGGUUGAAACUCAAAGGAAUUGACGGGGACCCGCACAAGCGGUGGAGCAUGUGGUUUAAUUCGAAGCAACGCGAAGAACCUUACCAAAUCUUGACAUCCUUUGACAACUCUAGAGAUAGAGCCUUCCCCUUCGGGGGACAAAGUGACAGGUGGUGCAUGGUUGUCGUCAGCUCGUGUCGUGAGAUGUUGGGUUAAGUCCCGCAACGAGCGCAACCCUUAAGCUUAGUUGCCAUCAUUAAGUUGGGCACUCUAAGUUGACUGCCGGUGACAAACCGGAGGAAGGUGGGGAUGACGUCAAAUCAUCAUGCCCCUUAUGAUUUGGGCUACACACGUGCUACAAUGGACAAUACAAAGGGCAGCGAAACCGCGAGGUCAAGCAAAUCCCAUAAAGUUGUUCUCAGUUCGGAUUGUAGUCUGCAACUCGACUACAUGAAGCUGGAAUCGCUAGUAAUCGUAGAUCGGCAUGCUACGGUGAAUACGUUCCCGGGUCU